GAUGGCUUUACAAGUUCUUUUAUCGAUCGGUGAGAUCGAGCUUCGAAGACAGUGUUUGUAUAAUUAUCUACUACUACGUCCUAAUUUAACAUAGAAAUGGAGGGAUAAUAGAAGAGAUAUGUAAAAGGAAGUUUGGCAAAGCAGACAUAGAUAUCCUUCGCCAGAAAGCACUUCAUUGGUAAGAUAAAACUAACAAUAAGUCGUCCUUGGAAGAUCCGUUAACGCGGUUAAUCUUAUCGAUCCUCAAGAAAAAUCCAACAACGUUUGUCUUUCCAUCGUGCGAAUAGUGAGGGGCUCAAGCGAACGGAGCCAGGGUAAGGGCACUCAAGAACAAAGUGUUGGAAAACAAAGUUAGGCAGCCGCAAAUUUGUAGAGAUAACACACACGGCAAGCGUACUUUUCAAACGGAAUACUCCAUUGGAGGAUGCGUUUACCGUCGAAAGUUCGAUGUUCCUCUAAUACGAGAGAAUAUACCUACGUAUUUUGCUUCCUACAUUGCCGUAUUUUAUCUCUUUUCAAGGGAGUUCGUCGUUGCACCUAAAAAAUAAA